UGUGGUUCAUUAGCAGAUUUCUAAUCUAACAAGAUUCUGCUGCCCUGACCAAUUAAUUCCCUGUGAAACUGACCCAAUUUUCCAUAGAUCUCCACUCAAGUCAUGUGCAUUAUAAACCCCAAGUUUGUCCUCUGGGACACAGACUGCGCAGGAUCUCAAGGAACCCUUGCUGGAUAGAUAUGGGAACAUUUAAUCCUCAGUAAUUUUUUUUAACCACCUGAUAGUUAAGUUGUCUUUCUCAAGAAUUAAAUUCUUCAAGUGAACCUGCCCACCCCUUCCAAAAUUCUGUCAACAGUCCUUUUGCCCUCUUUCUCCUGCUGAUUCUUCCUUCAUGAAGCCCAUAGCAUCCCAUGAACCAAAAUCAUGCUUCUAAGGAAAACCAACUUUAAAUAGUGCAUCUAGGUCAUGUGUUAACUCUGCAGUUGUCCACACCUAGUGAUCGCCACCUGAAGAUCAGGCAUGAAGGCUCCAGACUGCAGAGAUGGCUCAAAGAUGGUUUCUUCCCUAAAAAAUAUCACCAGAUGUACUCCAAACAGCUGAAUCCUGCACACCUCACGUA
rnacentral:lncRNA from 1 species